rnacentral:rRNA from 1 species
UACGUAGGGGGCAAGCGUUGUCCGGAAUCAUUGGGCGUAAAGCGCGUGUAGGCGGCCCGGUAAGUCCGCUGUGAAAGUCGGGGGCUCAACCCUCGGAUGCCGGUGGAUACUGUCGGGCUAGAGUGCGGGAGAGGCGAGUGGAAUUCCUGGUGUAGCGGUGAAAUGCGCAGAUAUCAGGAGGAACACCAGCGGCGAAGGCGGCGCUCUGGGCCGGAACUGACGCUGAGGAGCGAAAGCGUGGGUAGCAAACAGG